rnacentral:rRNA from 1 species
CCUACGGGAGGCAGCAGUGGGGAAUUUUGGACAAUGGGCGAAAGCCUGAUCCAGCAAUGCCGCGUGAGUGAAGAAGGCCUUCGGGUUGUAAAGCUCUUUUGUCAGGGAAGAAACGGUGAGGGCUAAUAUCCCUUGCUAAUGACGGUACCUGAAGAAUAAGCACCGGCUAACUACGUGCCAGCAGCCGCGGUAAUACGUAGGGUGCAAGCGUUAAUCGGAAUUACUGGGCGUAAAGCGUGCGCAGGCGGUUUUGUAAGUCUGUCGUGAAAUCCCCGGGCUCAACCUGGGAAUUGCGAUGGAGACUGCAAGGCUAGAAUCUGGCAGAGGGGGGUAGAAUUCCACGUGUAGCAGUGAAAUGCGUAGAGAUGUGGAGGAACACCGAUGGCGAAGGCAGCCCCCUGGGUCAAGAUUGACGCUCAUGCACGAAAGCGUGGGGAGCAAACAGGAUUAGAUACCCUGGUAGUCCACGCCCUAAACGAUGUCUACUAGUUGUCGGGUUUUAAUUAACUUGGUAACGCAGCUAACGCGUGAAGUAGACCGCCUGGGGAUACGGUCGCAAGNUUAAAACUCAAAUGAAUUGACGCUGAGACCNGCGAGACGACGACGAGGAGGAGG